rnacentral:rRNA from 1 species
UACAGAGGGUGCGAGCGUUAAUCGGAAUUACUGGGCGUAAAGGGCGCGUAGGCGGUUAGAUGUGUGUGAUGGGAAAGCCCCGGGCUUAACCUGGGAAGUGCAUCGCAAACUGUCUGACUGGAGUAUAUGAGAGGGUGGCGGAAUUUCCGGUGUAGCGGUGAAAUGCGUAGAGAUCGGAAGGAACGUCGAUGGCGAAGGCAGCCACCUGGCAUAAUACUGACGCUGAGGCGCGAAAGCUAGGGGAGCGAACAGG